AAGUCGUAACAAGGUUUCCGUAGGUGAACCUGCGGAAGGAUCAUUAACGAGUUUACUGAGUUGUCGCUGCCCUCUCGGGGGAUGUGCACGCUCUUUCACUCAUCUAAUACACCUGUGCACCUAUGCGAGUCAAUGGGGGAUUAGCGAAAGAGACCUGCAAAGGUUUCGACUAGCGUUCUCUGUCGGCUCGAUUUUUUAUAAACUCUUGUAUGUCUUAGAAUGUCUACUUUGCUUAACGCAAUAAAUACAACUUUCAACAACGGAUCUCUUGGCUCUC
rnacentral:misc_RNA from 1 species